rnacentral:lncRNA from 1 species
UUAAAACGAACUGCACUUUUUAGUAAAUUCGCAUUUCACCUACUUUAAUUUUCAAAUUACUAGUAGUAUUUGUAUAUUCUAUUGUGCAUACAGAUGAGAUGACUAUCUAAGCAGAGAAUGCAGUCAGGACUUACUCAACUGCAUGGGCAAUUUCAAGAGAAGCGAAGGCAAAUCAUUCGAGGGAAAUACCUGCCAAGUGAAUGAUGUUAUUCAAGUCAUCACCGUCUCCAUGGAUGCUGCUUUGCUUGCUCGAAGACUCCAUAAACCUUAAUUCAUCAUUACUCCACUUAAUAAUGCAUUAUGCUUGGAUAUCAUGCUUUUAAUUUCAAAUAUACAGAUAGGCACACUAGUAAAGAAGGGAAAAAAAUGAUUCUUCCUUUAAUUUGUGGAAUUUCCCCCGAAUUAUUAAUGGGAAUUACAUAAUACUCACAGGAACUUCUUGUAGGGCCUCCCUACAUCCUCAUCUUGCAUAUGCUGUCAAAAAAUGCUAAAAUAUUAAGAUCCAAGUUACGGAAGAUUUAAUCAAGUUCAAACAAAGUUGAAAAGAAUAUNNNNNNNNNNNNNNNNNNNNNNNNNNNNNNNNNNNNNNNNNNNNNNNNNNNNNNNNNNNNNNNNNNNNNNNNNNNNNNNNNNNNNNNNNNNNNNNNNNNNAUGCUAUGUGGAGCAAAAAUGGGUGCAUUAUUAGCAGUAGGAUUUUAAGUAGAAAUUACAUGACAAAAAUAUGAUUGAAACCUUGACUUUUGCUACAAAUACAUGCAGGAAAUAGCAUCACUAAUUUUGAGACAAAUUUUAUUACAGCAAAGAGAUCAGAGCAGGUAUGCCAUGAACAAAUUUGCAUUACACUUCAGCAAAAAAAAUUAUGCUACAUAACAAUCAAACCAAACCUGCAAUGAAGAAUUCAUACAAUCAUCGUUUAAUAAGAAAUUCAAGAUUUAACGUCACGAGUAUUCCUAUUUUUAAAUUGGCCAAAUCAUGAUAAAAGAAUUAGUUAUUACAACACCAAAAUCAUAUGGGUUCCUACUUCCUAUUAAGUUUUCAACAUGACACUUCCCUCAGACACUGUGUUACCACAUUGCCAUAUGCUUACAGUGAUGUUUCUCACAUUAGAAGCUCUAAAACCACAUGCGUCAAUGGACCGAAUGAACUUCAGUCAAAGCCAAAAGUUUUCAAAGAUCUUCUUUACAAUAGAAUUUUGCAAUGCAAUUAAGGUCAAGUGCCAUGAGUAUUGGGUACUUAAGUAAAUCCAAAGGAGAAAGAAAAGAAAAAUGUUCCGAUGAUUUAGUCUAAAAAGCAUCUUUAUGCGCUAAAACAAAGCCAUAACUGGAGCUUGGAGCAACUAGGUGGCCAUGUGCCCAAGUGUAACCACAAGACAAAUACUUUUGCGAGUUCGGCUAUAACUGGACAAAUAUAAGCCCAUUAUUACUCUGAAGAGUCACAAACCAAAUUGAAAAACAACCCAUUAAAACUAGACACGUAAGCCUAUUCCAGAUAUAAGCCCAAAAGAUCACUUCACAGAGGGGGCACAACAUUGCAAGGCACCGGAGGUUUCAAGUCAAUACCUAGAGGCGAUUGUACUUGAACAAAAGUAGAAGGAAGUUAGUUAAAUCAUAAAGUCCUCGGGUAGUUUCUUAUUUAUCAAAAGCUACGGAGUGUUUUGCAGUCCAUAAAACUACAGACUAAUUCUCAAUUUCGAUUAAAACCAGAUACACCUGUUCAAGUAGAUGUAAUGCCAUCGACCAUCUCAGAGUAAAACAAGAAUAAAAAGGCAAAGCAUACUUUAUAGAUAAAUAAUAACCUAAAAAUAUCUAGCUAAACAACCCAAUGCCUUUAAUUUCAAAUUGCCUAUAUCAAUUUGCUAAAGAACUCCAUUUUUCCUGAUAAGUAAAACAUAGCAUGUUUGACCAAUCAGGCAGAGCAUCACGAACAACAAUUCAUAAUUACGGUGUCUACAGAAGCAUAAAAUUAUGGAUUCCAAAAAUCUAGUUUAACUACAAAUGUCGAAGCAUUACGUUAAGCAAAUAUAAUAAUACAUUAUAAGCCUUUUGGGGACAUAAUAUGAACAUCUAUGUAAAAUACUACAAUUGCCCGAUAAAUGAAAACUGUUAUUAUAUCUAAUGCAACCAACUUAUUCUUUAAUUUCUUAAACUAAAGUUAUGUUAAGAUAUGCAGACCUCAUCAAUCAUCACGAGUGUAUGUGUGUGUAUAUACACACACCCACAAGCAAUCGAAAACUAAUCAAGAACAUCAAGCUAAUACACCCCCUUGCGAGAGCAAUCAACUGAAUCAAGCAGACAAUGCCUAAGUGGACACAACGAUAAGGAUACUCAAAUCUCUAAAAUCAGUGAAAAAUACCAGCAAGAAGACUUAUGCCACCAAGUCAUCACAUAACCUUAGAUUGGUGUAUUACAAUGUACUUAACAGUUUAGGCAUACAUACUUGAUACUAGCACAACUGAGUUUAGAUAACAAUACAUUAUAAAUGGAAAACAUAAGAAUGUUGUAUUGAAUGUUUAAGGUUGUAGGUACGUCUAAAACUGGAUUUAAAAUAAACAAAGUUGACAACAAAAUAACAACAUAUACUCUAAAUGUCCUUCCAACACUCGAACACAUAGACACACAUUGCUGAGUUUAAAGCAAUCCAAAAUGCUAUGACUUCUAUGUUUAGUGUACUAUAAAAUAUAACUGUUCGUAUAAAAUAUUCUAACUUUUUAGCAAAGGGCAGCAAUCCAUUAGUAAUAUUUUAAAGUACUAAUUGCACUAAAAUAAAUCAUGGCUAGUAAAGUAAAAUUAGAACAGUUGAUAUUAGUUCAACAUACCACAUAGAAUGUCAGUGAGCACCAACAAGUAAGAAGGCCUCCGAGAGAUGAUCCAUCCCGCUCAGCUUCCGAAGCCUUAACUCCAUCUACACUAAUGACUAAACCCUUAAACCCUUAUUUAUAGUACUUUAAUACCUUUAAAUUUUAUCACAGUGGGCUCCAUUGUUGAUAAUUGUGCCCGAAGAAGAGAACGCUCUCAUAUAGAACCCCUCCUAUUUCCAAAGGAAGAAGAAGAAAGAGCGAAAAAGAACGAAACCUUAAGAAGCAGUGCUGAAACCGUAGGGGAACCAAAUAACCGGAUGUAACCCGAAUACCCGGACCAAUAUCCGACUCCGACCCGAACAGUAGGAGAACCAAAUAACCGGCUGAAACCUGAAUACCCGACCCAAAAACCCGAUCCGAAUUGUACGAACUGUAAAUUUCCCAUAGUGUAACUGCACGAACUGUAAACCACUGGUGAACAGUAGAGAAGCCCUAACCGUACGGUAACAAAAGCGACGCGUGCGGGCGCGUCGUUUGUCCAAAUCGACUACCCUACCUCCGUCCAUCUUUGUGUUAGGUUUACACAGCCAACUAGCUUGCACGUAUUGAAAAAUGUUUUAUAUUAAGUCGGUAAUGGACUUGAAGAGUUUUUAAUAGGUUACAAAGGGUGUAACUGGACAAAAUUAACUUGACUCCAAAAUGCAUUGAGAAAUUAUUUCAAGUGAAAUGAAUCAAAUGAGUGAGAUAUACUCAAAAAUACCGGAAUCUAGAGGACUGAAAGUUGAAAUUCAGCUACUUCAAAUCGUCCGCCAAGAGGAAACAUCGAUCAGCUCAAGUCUCUCCUUCAUCACUCCCUCCCUUCGAAAUGUCGCAACACAACCAGAUCUACCGGUUUUAUAUGUGAGAGAGAAGAAGCCACUACAUCUUUGAGGUGAUCUCCACUCCGCCGCUACCAAAAAUCUCACCCACCGCAGCCUAGAUAUACAACCAAAUAGAUCAGAAAUUGAGAAACAGAGUAUGUAUAACUCUAGAGAGCAGGCAGAGAUCUUUUUGAGAUUUGAAGGAAAAGAGUAUUUUCAGAGUUUGAAAGAACACAGAUAAAGUGAGAGAAAAGAAAUGAUAGAUUUUAGCUUACAUUGCAUUACUUUUAAAACGACGGGUCAUCUGAGUAUGGGCCAAAUAUAAAGUUAUUAUGAUACAGUUAAACUCAUAUUUUAAAUAUCAA